ensembl:lncRNA
ACCGGCGAUGCCCCGCGCGUCUUUCAAUUUGCAUUUGCGUGCACCCUGGGUCGGGGGUGUUAAGGAGAUACAGACAGCAUCAGACUGUUGGUGAACGAAGCGAGAUAUCAGCAGCAGAUAACAGGAUGAAUGUUACUGUUUUUGAGAAUGCCUCCUUGCUGCUCCCCGGAGAAACCUUCCUCAGCAGCCACAUACGCCUGUUGCCCAAUGUUCUCAGCCUGAUCCUGCGAUUCCCCGUCAAUGUCUACGUCCUGCAGAUUAUAAUGUCGCGAAACAUGUUCACCUCGGAGUUCUACUCUUUCAAACAGGCCCUUUUUGAAGUUAUGUGCUUCUACGACUUUUUGGGAGUGGUCUUCUUUGUGUCCCCGAACUGGUAUUUGUGGAAAAUCCAGCACUUUUUCCUGGGAUUCAUAAUGACGGCUCGCCCGUGUCUCCUGGCGUUGAUUUGCGUGGAGCGCUACCUGGCAGUGGUUAAACCUGUGGCCUUCCUGAGGAUGAAGUCACUGAAGUACAAACUGGCCAUGUCAGCGAUUAUCUGGUUGUGGACUGUGACUACUGGCGUGUGCAUCUUGGUGUUGACGGAUUUUAAAAACGGUCUUGUGUGGCAGAUCGCUGUGUGUUGCAUAGUGAACCUUUACUGUUGCAUCGCUACCCUUCACGCACUGAGACGGCCCGGUCCAGGAGAAGGGCCCAGGCAGAGAGAGGGGAUGAGCAACGUAAAACUGAAGGCUUUUAGGAUAAUAUUGAUUCUCACGGUUUCAGUCUUUCUCACGUAUGUCCCCUUGGUGCUUGUUGUUCUUUUUAAGAAGUACUUUAAAGAGGAAGUAUUUGCGGACAUCCUUGAUAUCUUCUUCAUCUGCACUGCUCUUUCGGGGUUCAUCCAGGCCUCGCUGUUCCUCCAAAGGCUCGGUAAACUGACCUUCAUCAAAUGGCCGUGAGAUCUGAUAAUCAAACUCCAUGAUCUCUGAAGCAGCCUCAAUCGCUGUUCCAAGAUAGAUGACUGCAAAGCGCUAUUCCCCGAGACUACCACCUCAUUCAGCCUUUUUGAUGAUGAUACUUGAUCAUUGAACUUGAAUGAGACGGAAAGAUUGACUCUACGUCUGCCUGUUUAUGCAAAGCCACGCAGGAUGUAGCUUAACCCCAACUUUACCUUUAGUCUUUGUAUUUUGCCAAAAGGGUCAACAUUAACACGGCAGUCCAAACAGGUUGAAAGCUCAUUUGUACAGCAGGUGGGGCGUCUGUUGAGGAAAACACUGGUACCAAAGUCCCGCGCUACAAAAGACAACUAAAUGAGAAGAUGGACGGAAAUAUCAUUCUGCCAGAUGUUCCAUCUCUCCAUCUCCUUUGUACAAAUGCCUGGCUUCCGUGCAUAAUCAGUGUGGCUCCUGGUCUCCCUGCCAACGUAUGUGUCAUGUGGCUCAUUUUGGCAAAGCCAGCGGAUGAAGCUGCAGACGUCUUUUCUCUUAACCAGGCCGUAUGUGAAGUUUGUCAAAUGCUGUGUUUUUGAUCGCGAUAACAGUGUCCGAUGACUUUUCCCUCCACUAUCACAGCCUCAGAAUUCAUUGGGGAUUGAUGUUUUCACGACGCCCAAUGUUUUUGAGCUUCAUCUGCUUGGAGCUCUAUCUGUCAGUUGUUCAUCCUGUGACCUUCCUGAGGUACAAGCCCUUGAGAUACAAAGUAGCUGCAAUGACCUUUUCUUGGUUGACGUUGUCGGUGUUUUGUAUAAUAUUUUUGUGGGUACCGUAUCCAGAAAUGUUUUCCGUGCUCUUUGGCGCGGCCAUCCCCUGGUUUCCGUGCAGCUCGUUUUUCAUGGUUGAGACACUGCGCACAGUUGUAAGGCCGGGACCAGGAGAAGAUAACCAGGGACGCAACGGGAUGAGCAGUGCAAAGCGUUACGCUUUCAAAAUCAUCAUCGUGGCUACAUCUCUCUACAAUAUGUCUUAUGUCUUUUCGAUCGUUUUGUUUGGUCAUACAUCAAUAGAGGACAGCUAUAAAAUGUUCUGCAUCUCUUACUACGUGUCUUUGGUGGCUUUCUGCCUCCCAAGCCUCUUCUACUUCCACAGAGUUAGAAGACUGCAAAAUUCUACCAAAGAUGCAGUGUAGAGAUCAGCAGCACACCGUCAAAUGUAACAUGAAAGGCAAUUUUUAGAUCUCCAAUGUUGAACUUCAGUUAAGCUAAAUAAACUACAUUUAUGUUUGAUUUCUUUAGUUGUCCUGGUUAGAGAGCCACAUUACACCGUCUGAAAAUCACUAUUCAACGAUUCGAGAUUCUGUAAAAACAGCGACUGUUGGCAUGGUUACUGUUCCUGUUCGCAUGCAAGCUGCUCCAUCAUGCCUCUUAUUUUUGUUUUCUAUAUUAAUAUGAAAAAAGUCACCUAUUCAAUUCUGACGGUGAAUUAUUCACUACUAAAUCCUGAUUAUUACUUUUUGUGAUGUAGUUUUAAUUAUUUGACAUCUUCAAUAACAUUCUUUGUUGACGGUACAGCUGCACUGCAGCUCCUGUUCUGGAUUCCCGAGCAUGCAUAUUAGAGAAAAAGGGUUGUGUAUUUGUAUUCUUAUGUUUGCUCACUGCUUUGUCUCAGUCAAGUGGAGGCAUCUGAGUUUUAGAACUUUGUGAAUCAUCUUUCUGUUUUGUGACAGUUUGAGGUGAUGCAGAAAAAGCAGAUUGACUUAAACAACAAACUAUUUCAACGUUUGCUUUGACACACUGGAGUCGUACUGUGCUUUUAGUUUAUAGUUGAACUCUUUUACAAUAAUUACAUUGAUUUGUUUGAUUGAGGGUGUGAUGGUUAUAUUUGUGACUUAUUUUCUUGUGUGAUAUUUAAAAAAAGUUAUACUGAUUUGUGGUGUGAAGAAUAUAAACUAGGCCUUGAAGUCGGAUAUCUGACUCGUGUGCUUUUAUUUCUCUCUAACUCAGCUGAGUGUCGUUUCUGUGAUGACUUAGACUGAGAGCGACUGUUCACCAGAGACCCCCCCACCGCCCACCGGCCGCCCCAACGGCCACCUGCUGGUCAUGAACAGAGUCUUUGUGAUAUGUGACGCAACCGCCUCAUCUGCCUUCCCCUCACGGCUCAGCAACCGCCGCGUCCGAAAGGCAGCGACAUAGUCCGUUUAAUUGGAGCUGAUCAUAAACUUGAUUUUAAAGUGUUCCCAGAGUCGUAAAAUCAACCUCGA